CCUACGGGGUGCAGCAGUCGAGAAUCAUUCACAAUGGGGGAAACCCUGAUGGUGCGACGCCGCGUGGGGGAAUGAAGGUCUUCGGAUUGUAAACCCCUGUCAUGUGGGAGCAAAUUAAAAAGAUCGUACCACACGAGGAAGAGACGGCUAACUCUGUGCCAGCAGCCGCGGUAAUACAGAGGUCUCAAGCGUUGUUCGGAAUCACUGGGCGUAAAGCGUGCGUAGGCUGUUUCGUAAGUCGUGUGUGAAAGGCGCGGGCUCAACCCGCGGACGGCACAUGAUACUGCGGGACUAGAGUAGGGGAGGGGGAAGCGGAAUGCUCGGUGUAGCAGUGAAAUGCGUAGAUAUCGAGAGGAACACUCGUGGCGAAGGCGGGUUCCUGGACAUUAACUGACGCUGAGGCACGAAGGCCAGGGGAGCGAAAGGGAUUAGAUACCCUGGUAGUC
rnacentral:rRNA from 1 species